UACAGGGGGUGCAAACGUUGCUCGGAAUCAUUGGGCGUAAAGCGCACGUAGGCGGUCUGUUAUGUCGGAUGUGAAAGCCCUUGGCUCAACUGAGGAAGUGCAUCCGAAACUGGCAGGCUAGAGUACUAAAGAGGAUCGCGGAAUUCCCGGUGUAGAGGUGAAAUUCGUAGAGAUCGGGAGGAACACCAGUGGCGAAGGCGACUAUCUGGCUGACAACUGACGCUGAGACUCGAAAGCAUGGGGAGCAAACAGG
rnacentral:rRNA from 1 species